UUGAUCCCAGCUCAGGAUGAACGCUAGCGGUGCGCCUAACACAUGUAAGUCGUGCGAUCGAGCCGAACUGAGUUUCCUUCGGGAGACGAUGAUUGGUGACGGAGCGGCGGACGGGUGAGUAACGCGUGGCUAACCUACCCUCUUGACGGGGACAACCACUCGAAAGGGUGGCUAAUACCCGAUAUUGUCUGGAACCGAUGGGUUCCUUUCCAAAGGCGGUCUUGCCGCCGCAAGGGGAUGGGGCUGCGUCCUAUUAGCUAGUUGGUGAGGUAACGGCCCACCAAGGCUUCGAUGGGUAGCUGGUCUGAGAGGACGGCCAGCCACAUUGGGACUGAGAUACGGCCCAGACUCCUACGGGAGGCAGCAGUGGGGAAUCUUGGCCAAUGGACGAAAGUCUGAGCCAGCGACACCGCGUGGGGGAUGACGGCCUUCGGGUUGUAAACCUCUUUUCUGGGGAAAGAAUAAGGACGGGAGGAAAUGCCCGCCCGAUGACGGUACUCCAGGAAUAAGCAUCGGCUAACUCUGUGCCAGCAGCCGCGGUAAGACAGAGGAUGCGAGCGUUAUCCGGAAUUACUGGGCGUAAAGGGCGUCUAGGCGGUUCGGUAAGUCGUUUGUGAAAUCCCUCGGCUCAACCGAGGAGGGUCUUGCGAUACUGCCGAGCUUGGGUGCAGGAGAGGAGGGUGGAACUCACAGAGUAGCGGUGGAAUGCGUAGAUACUGUGAGGUACCCCGAUGGCGAAGGCAACCCUCUGGCCUGCUACCGACGCUGAAGCGCGAAAGCGUGGGGAGCAAAGGGGAUUAGAUACCCCCGUAGUCCACGCCCUAAACAAUGUUCACUUGGUGUCGGCCGCUCAUACUGGUCGGUGCCGAAGCUAACGCGUUAAGUGAACCGCCUGAGGAGUACGGCCGCAAGGCUAAAACUCAAGAGAAUUGACGGGUCCCUGCACAAGCGGUGGAGCACGUGGUUUAAUUCGAUCGAUAAACGAAGAACCUCACCCAGGCUUGACAUACUAGUGGUAGGAACCUGAAAGGGAGACGACCCUGCCUUCGGGUAGGGAGCUAGUACAGGUGAUGCAUGGCUGUCGUCAGCUCGUGUCGUGGGAUGUUGGGUUCAGUCCCGAAACGAGCGCAACCCUUGUCGUUAGUUGCCAGCGGGUAAUGCCGGGGACUCUAACGAGACUGCUGGUGAAUAGCCGGAGGAAGGCGGGGAUGACGUCAAGUCAUCAUGUCCCUUACGCCUGGGGCGACACACAUGCUACAAUGGGGGGUACAGAGGGUCGCAAUCCCGUAAGGGGGAGCCAAUCCAUAAAAGCCCCUCUCAGUUCGGAUUGAGGUCUGCAACUCGACCUCAUGAAGCCGGAAUCGCUAGUAAUCGCGGGUCAGCCAUACCGCGGUGAAUAUGUACUCAGGGAUUGUACACACCGCCCGUCACACCAACCGAGUGGGGGGUACCUGAAGUCGCUCUUCUGAGGGCGCCUAAGGUAACUUCCGCAAGAGGGGUGAAGUCGUAACAAGGUA
rnacentral:rRNA from 1 species